rnacentral:rRNA from 1 species
GGGGCUAAUUCUCGAUAGGUGAAGAACUCUGGAAUGAGUCUUUGCCAAAAAGACGUUUACGUUAUGCUCGUAGGCGUCGCCCAAGGAUGAGGCCGCGACCGAUCAGGUUGUUGGUGAGGUAAUGGCUCACCAAGCCUUUUACCGGUGCGGGCCGUGAGAGCGGGAGCCCGGAGAUGGGCACUGAGACAAGGGCCCAGGCCCUACGGGGCGCAGCAGUCGCGAAAACUUUGCAAUACACGAAAGUGUGACAGGGCUAUCCCGAGUGCCAUCCGCUGAGGAAGGCUUUUACCCAGUCUAGAACGCUGGGGGAAUAAGGAGAGGGCAAGUCUGGUGUCAGCCGCCGCGGUAAUACCAGCUCUCCGAGUGGUGUGGAUGUUUAUUGGGCCUAAAGCAUCCGUAGCUGGCUGAGUUAGUCCCUUGUUAAAUCCACCGAAUUAAUCGUUGGAUUGCGGGGGAUACUGCUCGGCUAGGGGACGAGAGAGGCAGACGGUAUUUCUGGGGUAGGGGUGAAAUCCUAUAAUCCCAGGAGGACCACCAGUGGCGAAGGCUGUCUGCUAGAACGCGCCCGACGGUGAGGGAUGAAAGCUGGGGGAGCGAACCGGAUUAGAUACCCGGGUAGUCCCAGCUGUAAACGAUGCAGACUAGGUGUUUGGACGGCCACGUGCCGUUCUAGUGCCGCAGGGAAGCUGUUAAGUCUGCCGCCUGGGGAGUACGAUCGCAAGAUUGAAACUUAAAGGA